UACGUAGGGCGCAAGCGUUGUCCGGAAUUAUUGGGCGUAAAGAGCUCGUAGGCGGCCUGUUACGUCUGCUGUGAAAUCCCGGGGCUUAACCCCGGGCGUGCAGUGGAUACGGGCAGGCUGGAGGCAGGCAGGGGAGACUGGAAUUCCUGGUGUAGCGGUGGAAUGCGCAGAUAUCAGGAGGAACACCGGUGGCGAAGGCGGGUCUCUGGGCCGAUACUGACGCUGAGGAGCGAAAGCGUGGGGAGCGAACAGG
rnacentral:rRNA from 1 species